CAUUAAGUGGCUGAACAUAUUUAAGCAUUGGUCUCUUAAACCAACUCAUAGUAAAAAAUACUCUUAAUGA
rnacentral:tRNA from 1 species